rnacentral:rRNA from 1 species
GACAGAGGGGGCAAGCGUUGCUCGGAAUUACUGGGUGUAAAGGGUGCGCAGGCGGACUGGUAAGUCAGAGGUGAAAUCUCGUCGCUUAACGACGAAACUGCCUUUGAUACUAUCAGUCUUGAGUCCGGUAGAGAUCUGUGGAAUUCCGAGUGUAGCAGUGAAAUGUGUAGAUAUUCGGAAGAACACCAGUGGCGAAGGCAGCAGAUUGGGCCGGUACUGACGCUCAGGCACGAAAGCAUGGGGAUCAAACAGG